GGUGGCUCCGGGUGUCUGCAGUGGAGCUGGGGGCGGAAGCAUGAGGCUAACGGCUUGGCUUCAGUGAACGCACCGGGAUGUGCAGGCCGGGAGGUAGAGGCAGGCUGAUGGGGGAGGGAACGAGCAGCCUGUGAGACGGGGUGACGGCGGCUACCAGCCCGGGCGGGCACCGGGACUGGAAGAGUUGCCUGAGCAGCCGGCUGGUCCGGCGGCCAGGCUAGGGCGGGGGCGAGCGCCCAGUUGAGCCUGCUGGGGCUGGAGGAGCGAGAAGGGUUCUCUUCACAUUUCAGAGCGAACCAGACGGACAGUAAGGUUUGGAGGAAGGGGGAUCGUUGGAAGUAGCAGGAAGUGGAGAGAAUCUGGCAAUAGGCGAGAAACCGAAAGAAUCAGAAAGAAGUCUAUGUGAGUAGCUGAAAGCAUUGGGUGACCAGAAAGAAGGUCGCUGUAAGUGAAGGAAGAGUGAGGUGUGGCUGGAUCAAAGGGCUAAGAGAAGCGGGUCUGUGUAAGUGGAUGUGAGUGAGGAUCAAGGAAAAGCCGUGGAAGUGGCCGGGGGUCGGGGCCGCAGAAGUGCCAGACGGGGCCGGAAAGCAGCCGAGCGGAGUUCAAAUUUGAGAGCGUUUGGAAAUUGGAAGACUUGGUGGCGAACGAGGGUCAGGACCUGCAUCCUGCCUCAGAGUUAUCGACGUAUCCGGAAUGUGGGAUCAGAGGCUGGUGAAGUUGGCCCUGUUGCAGCAUCUGCGGGCCUUCUAUGGUAUUAAGGUGAAGGGUGUCCGUGGGCAGUGCGAUCGCAGGAGACAUGAAACAGCAGCCACGGAAAUAGGGGGUAAAAUAUUUGGAGUACCUUUUAAUGCACUGCCCCAUUCUGCUGUACCAGAAUAUGGACACAUUCCAAGCUUUCUUGUCGAUGCUUGCACAUCUUUAGAAGAACAUAUUCAUACCGAAGGGCUUUUUCGGAAAUCAGGAUCUGUGAUUCGCCUAAAAGCACUAAAGAAUAAAGUGGAUCAUGGUGAAGGUUGCCUAUCUUCUGCACCUCCUUGUGAUAUUGCGGGACUUCUUAAGCAGUUUUUUAGGGAACUGCCAGAGCCCAUUCUCCCAGCUGAUUUGCAUGAAGCACUUUUGAAAGCUCAACAGUUAGGCACAGAGGAAAAGAAUAAAGCUAUACUGUUGCUCUCCUGUCUUCUGGCUGACCACACAGUUCAUGUAUUAAGAUACUUCUUUAACUUUCUCAGGAAUGUUUCUCUUAGAUCCAGUGAGAAUAAGAUGGAUAGCAGCAAUCUUGCAGUAAUAUUUGCACCAAAUCUUCUUCAGACAAGUGAAGGACAUGAAAAGAUGUCUUCUAACGCAGAAAAGAAGGGCGUGUACCAGACUUUAUCCUGGAAAAGAUACCAGCCAUGUUGGGUAUUGAUGGUCUCUGUGCUACUCCAUCACUGGAAGGCUUUGAAGAAGGUGAAUAUGAAACUCCUGGUGAAUAUAAGAGAAAGAGAAGACAACGUGUAGGAGAUUUUGUUAGUGGAGCACUAAAUAAAUUUAAACCUAACAGAACACCUUCUAUUACACCUCAACAAGAAAGAAUUGAUAAUGAAACAACCACCAUCGGUUAAAUUUGAUCCAAAAAUAUUGCAUCUACCAGCAUUUUCAGUGGAUAAGUUAUAAUUUCUGAAAGACCAAGAUUGGAAUGACUUUUUGUAACAAGUGUGCUCGCAGAUCGACUCCAGUGAGAAGAGCUCGGGGACCUCCUGAGCCAAGUUUAAUCUCCUUUGCUAUUUGUGCAUGGUGGCUGGUCACCAGGAGGUGGCCACCAGGCUUCUCCUUUCCCCGCUGUUCUAAUUGCUAAUCCAGUAUUUGCGGAUAGCUCCAAACUGGGAUAUGAGCAGCAUACCAGGUGGAAAGCACCGUAGAUCAAGUGUUAGAAGGCUCUGGGUUCCUGUUGCCUGUAAGACUUGGCCAAAUGAUUAUCUUUUUCUCAUUCUCUGUUUCCUGGGGAGGGUGAGUGGAACAAGGAAAUGACAUAGGUUUAGGAUUCAGACAGACCUGGGUGUGGAUCAAAGAUCUGUGUUCUGGGCCAAUUACUUUAAUUGCUGAGUCGAAGUUUCCUCAUCUGUAAAAUUUCGAUGGAGAUGAGAUAACUACUUCAUAGAUUUUUGUAAUUAUUCCACUGUGAAUGAGGUAAAUAUGUGAUACCUUGUAUAGUGCCUGAUUCUUAGUGGGUAUUUCACUUACAAUGGGGUUGGGGUUGUAGAAGUUGCAGUUAUUAUCAUGAAGCUUGCUUAUCUCAUGACUGUUAGGAAAAGCACAUGAAAAAACGGAGGUGAAAGGAUUUUGUGAAUUGUGGCAGUGGUAUAAUAAUUAUUCUUCGAUGCUGGUAAAAUAUGGGUGAAACAAUAGGAGUUUAGAAAAUGCUUAAUAAUAAGGGUAAUUCUUAUUAUACAUCUUGUAAUGUUACUCUCCCAAAGUAAAAUCUGGUAAUAGAAAGUAGGAUUUAAUACUUUGAGCAUUUAAUACUUUGAGAAGGCUUAUGGUAUGCUCAUUAAAAAUGAAUCAAUGAAAUAUUUAUUUAAACACUUUUAUUUAAAACAUGUUAUACCCUUGAAUGGCGUGCCCCCUGUUGACAUUUUCAAACAGACAUUCCAAAUCAUUUCCAAGUACAGUCAUCCCUCUGUAUCAGCCCGGAGAUUGGUUCUAGUAUCCCCUUGGAUACCAAAAUUCACACAUACUAUUUUUCCUCUGCUUUUAAGAAUUGAAGUUUGAUUGUAAAACUGUUUUAAUUUGAAUAAAAUGAUACUGAGGUAGACAA